UACGUAGGGGGCAAGCGUUGUCCGGAAUCAUUGGGCGUAAAGCGCGUGUAGGCGGCUUGAUAAGUCCGGUGUGAAAUCUUGGGGCUCAACCCCAAGCCUGCAUCGGAUACUGUCUCGCUAGAGAUCGGGAGGGGAGAGCGGAAUUCCUAGUGUAGCGGUGAAAUGCGCAGAUAUUAGGAAGAACACCGGUGGCGAAGGCGGCUCUCUGGAACGAUACUGACGCUGAGACGCGAAAGCGUGGGGAGCGAACAGG
rnacentral:rRNA from 1 species